rnacentral:rRNA from 1 species
GUCUGGUAAUGAUGGCAGAGAGGUCACACCCGUUCCCAUACCGAACACGGAAGUUAAGCUCUCUAGCGCCGAUGGUAGUUGGGACUUUGUCCCUGUGAGAGUAGGACGUUGCCAGGC